rnacentral:lncRNA from 1 species
AAAUUCAUGUAGCAUAGAAAAAGGAGAAGAAAAAGAAAACCAGUGUAGGUUUGAAAAGAGUGGAAUCACAAGGAGAUAAAAGAGAGUGUUGAGGAACCAUUUUUCAUAAAACGAUGAAUGGUAUUGUUCCAUGGUAUAUGCUUCAUGUAGGAAAGCAUAAAUACAAGCUUAGUUUCUAGCAAUAACUCAGGUGAGUUAAGAGGUGAUGCAGCUGAAGAUUACUGGGUGAAAUCUUUUUUAGGCAGGUGGGCAAUUUUCUCUUCAAUGAGCCUCCUGCCAAAGGAGAUUUGCCCGGCAAUUCUUCUGCAUUUUAUUUGUUCUUUUGCCUUCAAAAGAUAUUUGGACACUUGAUCUUAUUUAUUAUUGAUAUCAUUUAGAAUGUCAUCUCAUCUUUUCAUUUAAGGUAGUAUCUACUAUAUAUAUAUAUAUGUGUUUCUCUACCAUAUUUUUUUAUAUUUUAAGUUAUAAUAUCUCUAAACUCAACUAUAUUAACUUAAUUUAAAAAGACUUCUACUAUUUUAUUAUUUAGAAAAAAGUUAUUUUUUUUCCUCUUAUUUAUACACAUUUUUAACAUUUAGUAAAUAUAAAAAAUAAUAACCAGAGCGUUGAAACUUACAUAGAAUAGGAUUUACUCUCAAUUAAUGAUUUGUUUUGUCUUUUUUAAGCUUGUUUCUAAUAUUAAGUUUAUUUUGUAGUUCUUAUAAGCAUUUUAUAAUCUUACGGAACAUCCAAUAACGAUUGUUAUUUUGUGUAGUUAUAAAAUGUUAAUUAUCAUAUAAAGGAAGGUCAAUUCUCAAGGUAUUACAAAAUGGUAUUAAAUUAUAUUAUGUAAACAUGCAUUAGUGCAAUCUUGGAUUUUGUGGGUCUUUAUAUUAUGAUUCACAAUUGUGAUACAUGAUCUUGUUGUGGAGAUUAUGAUAUCUAAAUCUAACAUCUUAACUAUGUGAAUUGCUAAGCUUUUAUUAAGGGCUCGAGUCACUCAGUUACUCAGGCUUAACUAGUCAUUUAUGUAUGGGAAAGCACAUGAAAUUUAUGUAAGUAUAAAUUAUUUGAACUUUAUUUUUUAAAAUUAUAUAUUAAUUAUAAUAAAUAAAUAUUACUAAUUAUUAUUAUUAUUAUUAUUUUCCUAAAGAAAUUUAAACAAUCGCUACUUUGGGUAACGAGACCUGAAAAUUUAGUUCUCUCAGACAUCAAUUAAUAUCAUUGUAUGAGACAACCGGUGGAUUACCAAAAAAAAAAAAAAAAAAAGAUUGAAUCAACUUGAGCAUCAUCCUUCCAUUAACCAAGUUAUCACAAUCUUGGAGGAAGGCGCCACUUCCAGCGCAUCUGACCAAGAGAGGCGGCGGAGAACAUCUCAUGGUUUAUGGAAGCUAUCGAGGGAAUCAUCAUAGACAUCUUCAUCAAGGCUUUUAACUUCAUAAUCUAACCACUAAUUCUCCCAAGAUCAUCGUCCACUCAGACUUUUCAAUCACCGUGGUAUGGUCAUUUGAUUUCGCAGCAGAAUUUUAUUUAAGUUGCAGAUUUAGAAAAAUGGAAUGUAUCAGUCUCUAUGUCAGAUAUGAAUUUAAUUUGGUCCUUUUCUAAAUUCACAGUUUUUUUUAUGACAGUUUUCACAAGUCGUUACCACAAUUAAUUGACAGUUUAAUGAGACUUAAUUGUUACUUAUCAUUAUUACAUGAUACCGCAGAUUCUUUGUAAACAAUGAAAGCAUGUAAGCAUUGUUCGGACCUUAGAUUAUGGAAAGGAAGAUACUAUAACACAUUCUGCGUGCAAACAGUUCCCUCC